CGCACCUUGCGCUCCUUGGUAUUCCGAGGAGCAUGCCUGUUUGAGUGUCAUUAAAUUCUCUCAACCCUGAUUUUAUAAACAAACGGGGCUUGGAUUUGGAGGUUGUGCUGUGGAUGUUUCCUCGGCUCCUCUUAAAUGAAUUAGCUUGGACUCAUUGUGGGAUCAGCUAUAGUGUGAUAAAUCUGUCUACGCUGUGCUGACGAAACAUUCAACUGAGCUUCUAAUUGUCUGUGGACAGACAAUGUUCUUUUGACCUUGACCUCAGAUCAGGUAGGAUUACCCGCUGAACUUAA
rnacentral:misc_RNA from 1 species